rnacentral:rRNA from 1 species
GACGAACGCUGGCGGCGUGCUUAACACAUGCAAGUCGAACGGAAAGGCCCUGCUUUUGUGGGGUGCUCGAGUGGCGAACGGGUGAGUAACACGUGAGUAACCUGCCCUUGACUUUGGGAUAACUUCAGGAAACUGGGGCUAAUACCGGAUAGGAGCUCCUGCUGCAUGGUGGGGGUUGGAAAGUUUCGGCGGUUGGGGAUGGACUCGCGGCUUAUCAGCUUGUUGGUGGGGUAGUGGCUUACCAAGGCUUUGACGGGUAGCCGGCCUGAGAGGGUGACCGGCCACAUUGGGACUGAGAUACGGCCCAGACUCCUACGGGAGGCAGCAGUGGGGAAUAUUGCACAAUGGGCGGAAGCCUGAUGCAGCAACGCCGCGUGCGGGAUGACGGCCUUCGGGUUGUAAACCGCUUUCGCCUGUGACGAAGCGUGAGUGACGGUAAUGGGUAAAGAAGCACCGGCUAACUACGUGCCAGCAGCCGCGGUGAUACGUAGGGUGCGAGCGUUGUCCGGAUUUAUUGGGCGUAAGGGCUCGUAGGUGGUUGAUCGCGUCGGAAGUGUAAUCUUGGGGCUUAACCCUGAGCGUGCUUUCGAUACGGGUUGACUUGAGGAAGGUAGGGGAGAAUGGAAUUCCUGGUGGAGCGGUGGAAUGCGCAGAUAUCAGGAGGAACACCAGUGGCGAAGGCGGUUCUCUGGGCCUUUCCUGACGCUGAGGAGCGAAAGCGUGGGGAGCGAACAGGCUUAGAUACCCUGGUAGUCCACGCUGUAAACGGUGGGUACUAGGUGUGGGGUCCAUUCCACGGGUUCCGUGCCGUAGCUAACGCUUUAAGUACCCCGCCUGGGGAGUACGGCCGCAAGGCUAAAACUCAAAGGAAUUGACGGGGCCCCGCACAAGCGGCGGAGCAUGCGGAUUAAUUCGAUGCAACGCGUAGAACCUUACCUGGGUUUGACAUGGACCGGGAGUGCUCAGAGAUGGGUGUGCCUCUUUUGGGGUCGGUUCACAGGUGGUGCAUGGCUGUCGUCAGCUCGUGUCGUGAGAUGUUGGGUUAAGUCCCGCAACGAGCGCAACCCUUGUUCACUGUUGCCAGCACGUUAUGGUGGGGACUCAGUGGAGACCGCCGGGGUCAACUCGGAGGAAGGUGGGGAUGACGUCAAGUCAUCAUGCCCCUUAUGUCCAGGGCUUCACGCAUGCUACAAUGGCUGGUACAGAGAGUGGCGAGCCUGUGAGGGUGAGCGAAUCUCGGAAAGCCGGUCUCAGUUCGGAUUGGGGUCUGCAACUCGACCUCAUGAAGUCGGAGUCGCUAGUAAUCGCAGAUCAGCAACGCUGCGGUGAAUACGUUCCCGGGGCU